rnacentral:rRNA from 1 species
UACAGAGGUCUCAAGCGUUGUUCGGAUUCAUUGGGCGUAAAGGGUGCGUAGGUGGCGCCGUAAGUCGGGUGUGAAAUUUCGGAGCUUAACUCCGAUACUGCAUUCGAUACUGCGGUGCUUGAGGACUGGAGAGGAGACUGGAAUUCAUGGUGUAGCAGUGAAAUGCGUAGAGAUCAUGAGGAAGACCAGUGGCGAAGGCGGGUCUCUGGACAGUUCCUGACACUGAGGCACGAAGGCCAGGGGAGCAAACGGG